rnacentral:rRNA from 1 species
GAUGAACGCUAGCGGCAGGCUUAACCCAUGCAAGUCGAGGGGCAGCGCGGGUAGCAAUACCUGGCGGAGACCGGCAAACGGGUGCGGAACACGUACGCAAUCUACCUUUAUCUGGGGCAGAGCCGGACGAAAUUCGGAUUAACACCCCAAAAAAUAACAGAAUGCCAUCACUUAAUUAUUAAAACUCCGGGGGAUAAAGAGGGGCGUGCGUCCCAUUAGCGAGCUGGUAGGGUAAGGGCCAACCAAGGCGACGAUGGGUAGUUGGUGUGAGGGCCCGAACAGCCACACGGACACUGAGGCACGGGCCCGACUCGUACGAGAGGCAGCAGUUAGGAAUAUUGAUCAAUGGAUGCAAGUCUGAACCAGCCAUGCCGCGUGGAGGAUGGAUGCCUUCUGGGUUGUAAACUUCUUUUAUGGGGGAAGAAAAGCACGGUUUCUACUGUGUCCGACGGUACCCAAGGAAUAAGCACCGGCUAACUCCGUGCCAGCCGCCGCCGUAAAAC